UAGCUCAGUUGGUAGAGCGCCUCGCUGUUAACGAGGAUGUCCCAGGUUCGAGCCCUG
rnacentral:tRNA from 1 species